GCACAUCAGGACAAGCUGGCGGUGGCAUCUGUUGCUGUAUUGAUUGUCAGGGUUUGUUCAAAAUCUCUGGUCGGUUGAACGGGUGUCUCCGUUCUCCUCACCUAUCUGCAGGUGUUCCCUUACGGCAACAUUCCGGCUGAAGAUCCGGGAGAUCAACACUGACGUAGCAGCGUUCUUCAACACCAGGGUGCUACUAACAAACUCGCCUCUAUGCUGCCUGCUGGCGUAACCAGACGCGGGGCAGUUUAG
rnacentral:sRNA from 1 species